AUGAACGCUGGCGGCAGGCCUAACACAUGCAAGUCGAGCGGAAACGAGUUAUCUGAACCUUCGGGGAAACGAUAACGGCGUCGAGCGGCGGACGGGUGAGUAAUGCCUAGGAAAUUGCCUGAUGUGGGGGAUAACCAUUGGAAACGAUGGCUAAUUCCGCAUGAUGCCUACGGGCCAAAGAGGGGGACCUUCGGGCCUCUCGCGUCAGGAUAUGCCUAGGUGGGAUUAGCUAGUUGGUGAGGUAAGGGCUCACCAAGGCGACGAUCCCUAGCUGGUCUGAGAGGAUGAUCAAACUCCAUCACACAUGAGACACGGUCCAGACUCCUACGGGAGGCAGCAGUGGGGAAUAUUGCACAAUGGGCGCAAGCCUGAUGCAGCCAUGCCGCGUGUAUGAAGAAGGCCUUCGGGUUGUAAAGUACUUUCAGUCGUGAGGAAGGCGGCGUCGUUAAUAGCGGCGUUGUUUGACGUUAGCGACAGAAGAAGCACCGGCUAACUCCGUGCCAGCAGCCGCGGUAAUACGGAGGGUGCGAGCGUUAAUCGGAAUUACUGGGCGUAAAGCGCAUGCAGGUGGUUUGUUAAGUCAGAUGUGAAAGCCCGGGGCUCAACCUCGGAAUAGCAUUUGAAACUGGCAGACUAGAGUACUGUAGAGGGGGGUAGAAUUUCAGGUGUAGCGGUGAAAUGCGUAGAGAUCUGAAGGAAUACCGGUGGCGAAGGCGGCCCCCUGGACAGAUACUGACACUCAGAUGCGAAAGCGUGGGGAGCAAACAGG
rnacentral:rRNA from 1 species